UAUUCUAAUCCUGCAAAGACUCGUUGAAACUACUAAUGUUAUCCUGGAUGGAGAAAUGGUUGUGCCAAUUUCUCCUAACCAAGUUAAAGAAAUCAGGGUGGGACAACCACCCAGCUAAAAAUUGAAAAGGCUUAGGGUCCUUAUUGGGGGUAUGAAAGGUGUAAGGGAUGAUUAAGAGAGACCUAUGAUCUGAUUGCAUUUUAGGAAGAUGAUGAGCAGUAGCCUCCGGGAACUGGUUACACCAUCUUUGGUUGCAAAUGGCUCUAUCAAGGCGUUAAAAUAAGGUCCUUCAUCGCCAAGUGAAGUUCGACCAACAUAAUCAAGUUGUUAUAAAGAGUUGACAUCAAUGAAGUGAUCA
rnacentral:lncRNA from 1 species